CGAACGCUGGCGGCGUGCCUAACACAUGCAAGUCGAACGGAGAAUUUUAUUUCGGUAGAAUUCUUAGUGGCGAACGGGUGAGUAACGCGUAGGCAACCUGCCCUUUAGACGGGGACAACAUUCCGAAAGGAGUGCUAAUACCGGAUGUGAUCAUCGUGCCGCAUGGCAGGAUGAAGAAAGAUGGCCUCUACAAGUAAGCUAUCGCUAAAGGAUGGGCCUGCGUCUGAUUAGCUAGUUGGUAGUGUAACGGACUACCAAGGCGAUGAUCAGUAGCCGGUCUGAGAGGAUGAACGGCCACAUUGGGACUGAGACACGGCCCAAACUCCUACGGGAGGCAGCAGUGGGGAAUCUUCCGCAAUGGACGAAAGUCUGACGGAGCAACGCCGCGUGAGUGAUGAAGGAUUUCGGUCUGUAAAGCUCUGUUGUUUAUGACGAACGUGCAGUGUGUGAACAAUGCAUUGCAAUGACGGUAGUAAACGAGGAAGCCACGGCUAACUACGUGCCAGCAGCCGCGGUAAUACGUAGGUGGCGAGCGUUGUCCGGAAUUAUUGGGCGUAAAGAGCAUGUAGGCGGCUUAAUAAGUCGAGCGUGAAAAUGCGGGGCUCAACCCCGUAUGGCGCUGGAAACUGUUAGGCUUGAGUGCAGGAGAGGAAAGGGGAAUUCCCAGUGUAGCGGUGAAAUGCGUAGAUAUUGGGAGGAACACCAGUGGCGAAGGCGCCUUUCUGGACUGUGUCUGACGCUGAGAUGCGAAAGCCAGGGUAGCGAACGGGAUUAGAUACCCCGGUAGUCCUGGCCGUAAACGAUGGGUACUAGGUGUAGGAGGUAUCGACCCCUUCUGUGCCGGAGUUAACGCAAUAAGUACCCCGCCUGGGGAGUACGGCCGCAAGGUUGAAACUCAA
rnacentral:rRNA from 1 species